rnacentral:lncRNA from 1 species
UCUCCUUUGAGCUGCUUCUACUUCAGCCACACCUGAAGCAACUUUACCAUCUUUUCAGUUAUAGAAGUCCACUGUUUUAACACUGAUGCAAUGCCCUUGACUGGAUCGUGUUGUAAAUACAUCUUUCGCUGUAUUGACAUCACUUAUUGUUUCAGCAACUGUUAUUAGUGCAUUCAUUUUCCCACAAUGGCCACCCUAUGGACUAAAUAUAUUUUUUGCUGCUUGUAUUUCCUUAAUGUGUGUAUCCCAUAUUACAUUGAUAUAUUGGUAUAAUGAAGGAGGAGUUGAUCCGAAGUUUCGUGUUUUAAUUUAUUGCAACACAGUACUUAUUGUUUUAUUUUGUAUAUGUGCUAAUUGCUAUUAUCAUACAUGAAAUUUCUUUGCUAAGCUGAAAUCAUUCCGUGUAAUGCUUUAUAUAUUGGGGCCAGUGCCCACAUUAAUGACACAGUGAAUCUCAUUAUCAGAAAUCAUAGGAAUUUAUAAAAAGUUGCUAAGAGAUUUAAAUUUGUUCAAGCAUGGAAAACAGUAAUCUGUACAGAUUUUAAUAAUUUAAGCUUCUAUGCUUUUUAUCAUUUUUUGUCCAAAUGAAUGAUGCAAAUCGAAUUUCUUUGAAAAGUAAUUAGUGAUGUAGCAUUAAGUAUUAUGCAAGUUUUACACUAAAUAUAUUUAAUAGUUUAUACUAGCCUCAGUAUAUAUUACCCGUAUUAUCCAUUAAUUUAUACUUACUUACUAUUAAUGCAAAUAAAUAUCAAACUGAAUUUGAGAAUAAUGGAGAUUCCUGAACAUCAGGAAAGUUAAGUGCUUUUAAUCUAAAUAUACAUACAUAACUCAGUGUUAGAUAUAGGAUGAACAAUUAAUAAAUAAUAGAUGAUAUUUAGUAUUGUAUUAAAGUAGCAUGCUUGAGUGUAUUUCAGACAAAAAAAUAGUACAGUACUCAGUGACAUCUUUGUUUUAAAUCUGUUGAAAUUUUUAAAAGCCAUUUUAUUAGGCUGAGCUUUUUAAAUUCAGAUUAUUAUGUUUGUAUGAUUGACAAUUUAUAAAAAUGUCUUAUUUAUUACUGAUUCUUUUCUUUAUUGUUUAAUACUUUUUUAGAUUCUUCUGUUUAUAUGCAUUGUGCAAAUUUUAGAGUUUUUACAUGCUGCAAUAUAUUCUGAGAUAUUUGCUUAUAUGUGAGUUGUAUAGUGUACUUGCAUGUUAAAUAUAUGAGCUAUUUUUAUUUCAUUACAUAAAGAUGUAUUUUCUCGAAUAGCAUGGAGUGUCAGAAAAUAAUGCAUAAUAUGCUGCUGUUAAUAUAGUUCUUAUUGAUUUUAAAGUACCAUUAAAUUCUUGAAUGAAAAUAACUAGUGUAUGAAUAAUACACUACAAAACAUUUUUAACCUUCUUUCCUUAUUAUGUUUUAUUUUGAAAUUUGUAAUGAAUUAGAGGAUUCCACAUUAAUAAUUUAAUAUGAAAAUGAUCCUUUUUCAAAUAUUCUGUUUAAUAUGUUUUACAAAAUAGACAAUUUCUAAAAAGUUAGUAUACAAUUUCUGCGAUUUUAUAUGAUUAUGACUAAAGAUACUUCAUGAUUGAUAUUUUUAUGCUAAAUAAUUAUUUGAUGCUUUGAAUUUCAUUACAAGUAAUUGCUUAAUAUUUUAAUUGCAGAUAGUAUUGUUACACCAUUUUAAAUUAGUAAUAUU